ensembl:lncRNA
GAUAUGAGGCCCCCAGGACAUCCAGCUGAAGGAGAAAUGUGGCCCCCAGGACAUCCAGCUGAAGGAGAUAUGAGGCCCCUAGGACAUCCAGCUGAAGGAGAUAUGAGGCCCCUAGGACAUCCAGCUGAAGGAGAUAUGAGGCCCCCAGGACAUCCAGCUGAAGGAGAUAUGAGGCCCCCAGGACAUCCAGCUGAAGGAGAUAUGAGGCCCCUAGGACAUCCAGUGAUCAACAGUCAUACGUUGAAGGGAACAUUAUAUCACUGUAACCCCUGUAGUAAAACAAAACAGGAGUUUAUGAUCUAUGCAUAGCCACUUUACCCCUACCUACAUGUACAAGUCCAUGCUAGGUAAAGCUCCGCCUUAUCUCAGUUCACUGUUCACGAUGGCAACACCCACCCAUAGCACGCGCUCCAGCAGGUGUAUCUCACUGAUCAUCCCUAAAGCCAACACCUCAUUUGGCCACCUUUCGUUCCAGUUCUCUGCUGCCUGUGACUGGAACGAAUUGCAAAAAUCGCUGAAGUUGGAGACUUUUAUCUCCCUCACCAACUUCAAACAUCUGCUAUCUGAGCAGCUAACCGAUCGCUGCAGCUGUACAUAGUCCAUGGUAAAUAGCCCACCCAAUUCACCUACCUCUUCCCCAUACUGUUUAUAUUUAUUUACUUUUCUGCUCUUUUGCACACCAAUAUCUCUACCUGUACAUGACCAUCUGAUCAUUUAUCACUCCAGUGUUAUUAAUCUGCAAAAUUGUAAUUAUUCGCCUACCUCCUCAUGCCUUUUGCACACAACGUAUAUAGACUCCCUUUUUUUUCUACUGUGUUAUUGACUUGUUAAUUGUUUACUCCAUGUGUAACUCUGUGUUGUCUGUUCAGACUGCUAUGCUUUAUCUUGGCCAGGUCGCAGUUGCAAAUGAGAACUUGUUCUCAACUAGCCUACCUGGUUAAAUAAAGGUGAAAUAAAAUAAAUUUAAAAAACAAAUUAACUCGACUAACCUGUACACCCGCACAUUGACUAUGUACCGGUAACCCCUCAUUACUAACCAGUACCCCUUGUAAAUAGCCUCAUUAUUGUUAUUUUAUUCUGUUACAUUUUUAGUAUUUAAUUUUUUACAACUUUUGUUUAUUUAUUAAAUAUU